rnacentral:lncRNA from 1 species
UACAAGGGUCGCAGACAUUCAGAUCAUGGCAGGACUGUCAUAGAUGUUACUUUGUGAAGACACAAAGAACAAUGUGAUUGGAGAGAUCAGUCUUCAAUUAGCUGUAUUUUCUAGGAGGCUACCUUUACUUAGCCUCGCAACAUGGGCCGUUGCUUUGGCACUAAAUCUGCACAAACACCUGGCUUAAGUGUUAUGACAGACUGACUAUUCAACCAAACCAUACAAAUGACCAUUUCCGUACGAAAGCGUGAACUUCAGUGUUGAACUGAAUCAACCAACCUCCUCAAUCCAAAUGGAGAUGCCUGUGGAAGAGGAUGGGCCAGGGUCAGCUUUCACCUUCAUAUCCUAAAGGCUGUCUCUUCCUCUGCUGCCCUACCCAGAUUCCCAUUGCUUCUUGUGUAAUUGACUCCUUUACAUGAUUCUUCACGUAGACCCACUAUUUCAGCUUCUCUGACCCAAAGAGGAUCUUGGAAGAAUUCUGUUUCUGUCCAUGAAUCCCCAGUUUUUCUUUAUCAACCACCAAAACCAAGAUAUACCAACCCCAAAUGUCAAGGCUAGAAUGCCCAGUAGGAGUGCAGACUGGAGGAUCGGCUGUCUUUUGAACUGGAGACAUCACAGGAAACUGGGGAGGCUCCAAAUUGCUAACCUGAGGCCGGAGCAAAAACUUUUUCGUCGAAGGGACUGCUUUUUUUAUUUCCCCUUCAACGGAUGGCAUCCCAAGUCCUGCUGGAUUGCAUCUGUCUUUGUUCCUGCAGCCAAGCCUUAUGGCUGGCUCACACUCUGCCACGCUCAUAACCUCACACUAGAAAGGAUAUUACAAAGAGGGGCAAACACCCUAGAGGGUUCCCCUUUAUCAGAACCUUCCCUGUCAGUGGGCUCCUCAUUUCCCGAGCCCUCGUCUGAUUAUUAGUGUACUGACGGAAUAAAA